rnacentral:lncRNA from 1 species
UUAUUGUUAUUAAUAAUUCUCUCUCUACAAUCCUUGAGAUCUAGGGUUUUCGUUCAUCUUCCAAGGCUGCGAUCUGACGAUUACUAACACCAACAUAGUAUCAGAGCAGAGAUCUACGGUCCUCACAUCUUCCUCUACCUUCCGAUGUUACCCUCGAAGGGUUUUCAUCGUAUAAUUUUCCGGCGACGAUUGGUAUUUUGAUGAUUUUGUAUAGUUUUCUGGUGCUUACUCGUUUAUAUCAUCUGCUCUUCCUAUUCGACGCUUUGAUUCUUCAACUCAGAACAAAGGACGGUACCCCUUAUUGUUUUACGGAUUUCUCUUAUAUAUUUGUUGUAUUCUUGACCCUGGAACAUUGUUUGUUGAUACGAUUUUCUCUUAUGUAUUUGUUAUAUCUUCGAUCCUGGAACAGUUUUUGCCAGAGGCUGUUAGAUUGUUGAUUUUGCCUUUAAUAGAGUAAUACGACUAUGUCUACUGAUAAUAGCACCACUAGUCAGGGUUUUAAGGAGUUUACGGUUUCACCUACCCACCCUUUCUACCUUCACCCAUCGGAUAAUUCGGGAUCUAGGUUGGUUUCGCCUCCUUUUGAUGGUUCUGGUUUUAUCAUCUAGCGUAAGAACAUGCUUACUGCCUUAUAUUCCAAGAACAAAUUGGGGAUUGUCACUGGCACCGUCCCCAUACCCAUGGCCAACUCUCCUCAAUUUCUUUUUUAUGAGAGGUGCAAUGACAUGAUCAUUGCAUGGAUUACCAACGUGCAAUGACAUGAUCAUUGCAUGGAUUACCAACUCUUUUUCUCAUGAUUUGGCCACCAAUGUCAUGUGUUUUGACACUACUAAAGACAUCUGGAAGGACAUAAAUGACUGUUUUGGCCAAUCAAAUGGAACCAAAUAUAUAUAGAUCCAAAAGGAGAUCAACUCUACUGUUCAGGGAUCUUUAAAAAUUACUUCUUAUUUUACUCGUAUGCGCAGUUUAUGGGAUAAAUUGCAUAUAUCUUAUGUGGGUCCAAUUUGUACGUGUGGUGCCUUAGGCAAAUUUAUUGAAUAACAAAAGUUGUUUCAAUUAUUGAGUAGACUUAAUGAUGAGUACUCCAUGUGUAGAAGUAACAUUCUCAUGAUGCCCUCUCUUCCUACUCUUAGUAAUUCCUAUUCUAUGCUUCAGCAUGUUGAGAACUAAAAUCAAUCAUCUGCUAGUUCUCCCUGCUUUUCUAGUGAUUCAGCAUCUUUUAAUACUUCAUCUUAUAACCCAUCUUUUGGAAAAGGUUCUUCUCAGAAAGUCCACAAUGAUGCUAGGAAAGGUUUCCAGUCUUCCCAACCUCCUAGUUCUAAUAGGGGAUACCCACCUCCUCCUUCUGAUUUCUAUCAGCCUGAUGCUAAGAGGUUCUCUACCUCUAGCCCUAUGACUCCUUUGUUUUGCAAAUAUUAAAAAAAUUCAGGGCACACCAUUGAUAAAUGCUACAAACUUCGUAGAUACCCCUCAGAUUUCAAAUUUACAAAGGGAAAGAAAGUUCUUGCUUGUAUGUAAAAUGAUGUUUCCCUUACUGAUGACACAACUUCUUCUCUUUCUAUUACUGAGGGUGAUUAUAAGUUGUCCAAAGAACAGUUUCAGCAUUAUCUGCAUCUUCAUCAACUGUAUCAUGGUGCCUCCAUACCUGAUAGUCCUGCUGCUUCUACUUCUCCAGAUUCUGGGUAUGCUCAUUGUGCAGGUGCGUUUUAUCACCCUGCUGUCAUUUCUACUGCAUUUCAUGCAUGUGCAGUCUCUUCACUAGGGACAAAUUCUUGUAUACUUGAUUCUGGAGUUACUAAUCAUAUGACACCACACAAACAUCUUCUUCUUAAUCUCAUUCCUCUCCCCACUCAUCUUCUUAUAUCAUUACCAAAUGGAUACAGACUUAAGGUUUUGUAUACUGAAUCUUUACAACUUCAUUCAAACAUUAUCUUACAUAAUGUUCUUUUGGUUCUUUCUUUUCAAUUUAAUCUCAUAUUCAUCUACAAACCUCUUACUCAGCUUAAAUGUCAUGCACUUUUCAUUGAAUCAAAAUGUGUAUUGCAGGGCCUUUCUCAGAAGAGGCAAUUGAAAAUUGGUAGAGCUGAGAAUGAGUUAUAUUACUUCAAUGUUGAUUCCUCUCCCGUUAGUGUUUUUUUACCUUUUCCUGUUUUAUCUUAAUGUAAUCACUCUUGUAUUAUAAAUAAAACUGAUUUGUUCUGGCAUUAAAGGUUAGGUCAUCUCCCUUUUCACAAGAUGAAGUCCAUUCCCUAUUUGCUGAUAAGCUUUCUCAUUCUCAGAGUUUUCAUUGUGAUAUUUGUCCCAAGGCUAGGCAGCACAGACUUCCUUUUCCUUUAAGCUCUACUCAUUCCUCUUCUCCUUUUUAGCUUGUCCAUGUUGAUAUCUGGCCCCUAUCACACUUUUACAUAUAAUGGCUUUAGAUAUUUUUUAACCUUAGUUGAUGAUUUCACUAGAGUAACCUGAACUCAUCUUCUGGCUUCCAAGGAUAGUGCUUAUUCUAUCAUUACAUCUUUUGUUACCAUAGUCAAAGUGCAUUUCCAGUGUCCUGUUCCGAGUUUCAGAUCUGAUAAUGCCUUUGAACUGGGCAAAUGUGCUGAACUUCAGAAGUUCUUCUCUACCAAUGGCAUCCUUCAUCAAACAUUUGUUCCUCACACUCCUCAACAGAAUGAUGUCGACAUCAGCCCAAUACACAGGCCCAAUUUAUUACAUGAUCCGGGCCCAUGAAGCAUUUUUAUUUUCUUGCUAUUAUAUGUAUACACACUUGUAGAAAGUGGGACGAUCAGAUAUUUUUCAUGUUAUUGUUAUUAAUAAAAUUCUCUCUCUACAACCCUUAAGAUCUAGGGUUUUCGUUCAUCUUCCAUGGCUGCUAUCUGACGAUUGCUAACACCAACACAUCAGUCCAAUCUAUUACAUGACCCGGGCCCAUGAAGCAUUUUUAUUUUUUAUUAGUAUAAAUAACAUAAAUAUCAACCUUUUAAAAGUAAUUACACUCUCUCCCACUUUUUUAAUUACUUUACUCUCUCCCUAUUAAUAUACAUAACAUAGCCGACUUAUACAUAGCAUUCUGUGUAUAUGUGGGAUUUUUGUAAUAUGUUUAGGGAGUUGGGAUUUUUUGUAAUAUUGAAAACAUAAGUUGUGUAUUUGUGUAAUUUUUAGUUUUUAUUUUCUUGCUAUUAUAUGUAUACACACUUCUAGAAAGUGGGACAUUCGGAUAUUUUUCAUGUUUUUGUUAUUAAUAAAAUUCUCUCUCUACAAUCCUUGAGAUCUAGGGUUUUCGUUCAUCUUCCAUGGCUGCGAUCUGACGAUUACUAACACCAACAUUAUCAGAAAAACCCCAAAAAAAUUUAAAACUCCGAAAAAAUUCGAAGGUUGAAUAACCUGACUUCUUUUUAGUUUGGUUUAUAAAUUUAACCACCCGACACAAAUGGUUUGAUUUGAUUUUUAAGAAACUUGAACCAACUCGAUCCAUAUACACACCUCUACUUUUAAAUAAUGAACAUAAAGUUGGAUGACCACCCCUAAAAUUCAAAUUUUGUUUUUCAUAACAUGCACAUGCUAAUAAUAUCGUAGAGUAAAGACGUUUGAUGCUUGUGUGUGGUGUUGAGAACAUUACCAUAAUUUAACCGAAAAAAAAAGAGAACACUACCAUUUAUAACACUUGUACUAUAAACAUAACAUGACUUAAACAAACCAUGGGAGAACCUCGUUUAGUACAUCACAAUACAAACAACAACAACAACAACAAACCCAGUGUAUUCCCACUUAGUGGGGUCUGGGGGGGUAAGAUGUACGCAGUCCAUACCUCUACCUCUGAUGAAGUAGAAAGGCUGUUUCCAAAAGACCCCCGGCUCAAGUCACGAGACAUCAUACAAACACAUAGUACAGCACAGAAGCAGAUGACGUAACAUAGAUACGGCACCCAUAAAGAAUAUAAAACAGAGUAAAGCAGGAAUAUUUUAUUUAUAUGGAAAUAAUUUUAUUUUAUUUUAUUUAUACCAGAAUUUGCCCGUCGAUGGUUCCAUACGAAGGUUAUUGAAUAAGCUUUCCAAAGAUAUAAAGAUUUCCAAAAACGGAUAGGUUUCGGAUAUAAUCGAGCACCCAUCCAACGCUAGCCUCUCACACCUACGGACCGGGGCAUCCAUGCCCCUCCUUUUGACGUGUCCGAACCAUCUCAAUCGUGCUUCCCGCAUCUUACACUCCACUGAAGUCACACCAACCUUCUCCCGGAUAGUCUCAUUCCGAACUCUAUCCCCUCGGGUCAGUCCACACAUCCAGCGCAACAUCCGCAUUUCUGCCACCUUCAUUCUUUGGAUGUGGGAGUUCUUAACUGGCCAACACUCCGCUCCAUACAGCAAGGCCGGACGGACUACCACCCUAUAGAAUUUGCCUUUAAGCUUGGGCGGCACCUUCUUAUCACACAGCACCCCCGAUGCGAGUUUCCACUUCAUCCAUCCCGCCCCAAUACGGUGCGAGACAUCCUCGUCAAUCUCACCGUUACUCUGGAUCACGGACCCGAGAUACUUGAACUUAUCCCUCCCAAUACAAAGAUAAACGUAAAUAUAAUUCCAAUCCACAAGACUAGAUCAUGAGAUUUAUUUAUGAUUUCUUAAAUUCCAAGGACAAAUAUAGUUAUUAUUUGGCUUAUACUAAUCUAUAGCUGUUGUCCCACCAGAAUUGUGAUUGGAGAUAAUCC